rnacentral:lncRNA from 1 species
AGGAGAACUUAAGGCCAUCUGUCUACCAGCUGAAGCUCAACAGAAGAUGGGUGUUGCAACAGGACAAUGACCCAAAGCAUAGAAGUAAAUCAACAACAGAAUGGCUUAAACAGAAGAAAAUACACCUUCUGAAGUGGCCCAGUCAGAGUCCUGACUUCAACCCGAUUGAGAUGCUGUGGCAUGACCUCAAGAAAACGAUUCACACCAGACAUCCCAAGAAUAUUGCUGAACUGAAACAGUUCUGUAAAGAGGAAUGGUCAAGAAUUACUCCUGACCAUUGUGCACGUCUGAUCUGCAACUACAGGAAA